rnacentral:rRNA from 1 species
GGGAACGUGCCUUUUGGUUCGGAACAACACAGGGAAACUUGUGCUAAUACCGGAUAAGCCCUUACGGGGAAAGAUUUAUCGCCAAAAGAUCGGCCCGCGUCUGAUUAGCUAGUUGGUAGGGUAACGGCCUACCAAGGCGACGAUCAGUAGCUGGUCUGAGAGGAUGAUCAGCCACAUUGGGACUGAGACACGGCCCAAACUCCUACGGGAGGCAGCAGUGGGGAAUAUUGGACAAUGGGCGCAAGCCUGAUCCAGCCAUGCCGCGUGAGUGAUGAAGGCCCUAGGGUUGUAAAGCUCUUUUGUACGGGAAGAUAAUGACGGUACCGUAAGAAUAAGCCCCGGCUAACUUCGUGCCAGCAGCCGCGGUAAUACGAAGGGGGCUAGCGUUGCUCGGAAUCACUGGGCGUAAAGGGUGCGUAGGCGGGUUUUUAAGUCAGAGGUGAAAUCCUGGAGCUCAACUCCAGAACUGCCUUUGAUACUGGGAAUCUUGAGUAUGGAAGAGGUGAGUGGAACUGCGAGU